GACGAACGCUGGCGGCGUGCUUAACACAUGCAAGUCGAACGGAAAGGCCCUGCUUGCAGGGUGCUCGAGUGGCGAACGGGUGAGUAACACGUGGGUGAUCUGCCCCUUACUUUGGGAUAAGCCUGGGAAACUGGGUCUAAUACUGGAUAGGACCAUGCUGUAGGUGGUGUGGUGGAAAGAUUAGUUUCGGUAAGGGAUGAGCUCGCGGCCUAUCAGCUUGUUGGUGGGGUAAUGGCCUACCAAGGCGUCGACGGGUAGCCGGCCUGAGAGGGUGGACGGCCACAUUGGGACUGAGAUACGGCCCAGACUCCUACGGGAGGCAGCAGUGGGGAAUAUUGCACAAUGGGCGCAAGCCUGAUGCAGCGGCGCCGCGUGGGGGAUGACGGCCUUCGGGUUGUAAACUCCUUUCAGCCAUGACGAAGCCCUUGUGGUGACGGUAGUGGUAGAAGAAGCACCGGCUAACUACGUG
rnacentral:rRNA from 1 species